rnacentral:rRNA from 1 species
ACGAACGCUGGCGGCAUGCCUAACACAUGCAAGUCGAACGGGUACCUUCGGGUGCUAGUGGCGCACGGGUGCGUAACGCGUGGGAAUCUGCCCUUGGGUUCGGAAUAACUCAGCGAAAGCUGUGCUAAUACCGGAUGAUGUCGAAAGACCAAAGAUUUAUCGCCCGAGGAUGAGCCCGCGUUGGAUUAGCUAGUUGGUGGGGUAAAGGCCUACCAAGGCGACGAUCCAUAGCUGGUCUGAGAGGAUGAUCAGCCACACUGGGACUGAGACACGGCCCAGACUCCUACGGGAGGCAGCAGUGGGGAAUAUUGGACAAUGGGCGAAAGCCUGAUCCAGCAAUGCCGCGUGAGUGAUGAAGGCCUUAGGGUUGUAAAGCUCUUUUACCCGGGAUGAUAAUGACAGUACCGGGAGAAUAAGCUCCGGCUAACUCCGUG